rnacentral:rRNA from 1 species
AGUGAACGCUGGCGGCGUGCCUAAUACAUGCAAGUCGAACGGAGUGGCGCACGGGUGAGUAAUGUAUAGCUAAUCUGCCCUACACUAGAGGACAACAGUUGGAAACGGCUGCUAAUACUCUAUAGUGUAGGAUGAGGCUAUAUUGUAUCAGCUAGUUGGUGAGGUAAUGGGUCACCAAGGCUAUGACGCAUAACUGGUCUGAGGGGAUGAUCAGUAGCACUGGAACGGAGACACGGUCGGGGCUCAUGCGGGAAGCGGCAGUAGGGUAUAGUACUCAAUGGGGGAGUCCCUGAAGCAGCUACGCCGCGUGGAGGAUGACACUUUUCGGAGAGUAAACUCCUUUUGUUAGGGAAGCGGUACCUAACGAAUAAGCACCGGCUAACUCCGUGCCAGCAGCCGCGGUAAUAC